rnacentral:misc_RNA from 1 species
AACGCAAGUUGCGCCCGAAGCCAUUAGGCCGAGGGCACGCCUGCCUGGACGUCACACGUCGUUGCCCCCCCAUCUACUCCUUCGGGAUUGCGGGGGGCGGAUGAUGGCCUCCCGUGCGCCUCGUCGCGCGGUUGGCAUAAAUGCCAAGUCCUCGGCGACGCACGCCACGACAAUCGGUGGUUGCAAAACCUCGGUUGCCCGUCGUGUGCAGUCGUCGCGCAUCGAGGGCUCGAAAAAAUUGCUAGGCUCCGGCUCGGCUUUCAAUGCGACCCCAGGUCAGGCGGGGUUACCUGCUGAAUUUAA